rnacentral:rRNA from 1 species
UGGGGAAUAUUGGACAAUGGGGGAAACCCUGAUCCAGCCAUGCCGCGUGAGUGAUGAAGGCCUUCGGGUUGUAAAGCUCUUUUGGUGGGGACGAUGAUGACGGUACCCACAGAAUAAGCUCCGGCUAACUUCGUGCCAGCAGCCGCGGUAAUACGAAGGGAGCUAGCGUUGUUCGGAGUUACUGGGCGUAAAGGGCGCGUAGGCGGUUUGACAAGUCAGAUGUGAAAGCCCUGGGCUUAACCCAGGAAUUGCGUUUGAGACUGUCUUACUUGAAUUCGGUAGAGGUUAGUGGAAUUCCCAGUGUAGAGGUGAAAGUCGUAGAGAUUGGGAAGAACAUCCGUGGCGAAGGCGGCUAACUGGACCGACAUUGACGCUGAGGCGCGAAAGCGUGGGGAGCAAACA